GUCAGAAUGGCCGAGCGGUCUAAGGCGCUGCGUUCAGGUCUCUGUCUCCUCUGGAGGCGUGGCUUCAAAUCCCACUUCUGACA
rfam:Danio rerio chromosome 4, GRCz11 reference primary assembly.